CCUACGGGUGGCAGCAGUGGGGAAUAUUGCACAAUGGCGGAAACCCUGAAGCAGCGACGCCGCGUGAGUGAAGAAGUAUCUCGGUAUGUUAAGCUUUAUUAGCCGGGAAGAAAAUGACGGUACCUGAUGAAGAAGCACCGGCUAACUAAGUGCCAGCUGCCGCGGUAAUAUGCAGGGGGCAAGGGUUAUCCGGAUUUACUGGGUGUAAUGGGGACGUAGACGGCAGCACAAGUGGGGAGUGAAAGGCCGGGGCUUAACCCCGGAACUGCUUUGGAAACUGUGCAGCUAGAGUGCAGGAGCGGUAAGUAGAGUUGCUAGUGUAGCGGUGAAAUGCAUAGAUAAUAGGAGGAACA
rnacentral:rRNA from 1 species